rnacentral:rRNA from 1 species
UGCCUGGGGAGUACGGCCGCAAGGUUAAAACUCAAAUGAAUUGACGGGGGCCCGCACAAGCGGUGGAGCAUGUGGGUUAAUUCGACGCAACGCGAAGAACCUUACCUGGCCUUGACAUGCAGAGAACUUUCCAGAGAUGGAUUGGUGCCUUCGGGAACUCUGACACAGGUGCUGCAUGGCCGUCGUCAGCUCGUGUCGUGAGAUGUUGGGUUAAGUCCCGUAACGAGCGCAACCCCUAUCCCUAGUUGCUAGCAGUUCGGCUGAGAACUCUAGGGAGACUGCCAGUGACAAACCGGAGGAAGGUGGGGAUGACGUCAGGUCAUCAUGGCCCUUACGGCCAGGGCUACACACGUGCUACAAUGGUGCGCACAGAGGGCUGCAAACCCGCGAGGGGGAGCCAAUCUCACAAAACGCAUCGUAGUCCGGAUCGCAGUCUGCAACUCGACUGCGUGAAGUCGGAAUCGCUAGUAAUCGUGAAUCAGAAUGUCACGGUGAAUACGUUCCCGGGCCUUGUACACACCGCCCGUCACACCAUGGGAGUGGAUUGCACCAGAAGUGGUUAGUCUAACCUUCGGGAGGACGAUCACCACGGUGUGGUUCAUGACUGGGGUGAAGUCGUAACAAGGUAACCGUA